UACGUAGGUCCCGAGCGUUGUCCGGAAUUAUUGGGCGUAAAGGGCUCGUAGGCGGUUCGUCGCGUCGGGAGUGAAAACUCGGAGCUCAACUCCGAGCCUGCUUCCGAUACGGGCAGACUAGAGGUAGGCAGGGGAGAGCGGAACUCCUGGUGUAGCGGUGGAAUGCGCAGAUAUCAGGAAGAACACCGGUGGCGAAGGCGGCUCUCUGGGCCUUACCUGACGCUGAGGAGCGAAAGCGUGGGUAGCGAACAGGAUUAGAAACCCCUCGUAGU
rnacentral:rRNA from 1 species